UUACAUUGAAGAGAGCUUUCUUCAGUCCACUCAUGGGUGGCAGUAGGAUUGAAUUAGCUGCCGACUCCAUUCAUCCAAAUACUGUGUUAAGGACUACCCAGUAAAUGAUUGAAUGAUGCGGGAGACAAAUUGGAUCUUAAGCUCCCUGUGCUUGGACUGAAGGGAGCUCCCUUCACUGCAAUC
rnacentral:pre_miRNA from 1 species